rnacentral:rRNA from 1 species
GUCUACGGCCAUACCACCCUGAACACGCCCGAUCUCGUCUGAUCUCGGAAAAGAAACAGCCCGGCGACAUUAUUUUACACACACAGUGGCAACAGAAAUGAGUCACAGGUC